AGUCCUAGCCGUAAACUAUCCUUGCUAGAUACCGGGGGUUUCUUCGGUGUCGUAAGCUAACGCGUUAAGCAAGGCGCCUGGGGAGUACGAGCGCAAGCUUAAAACUCAAAGGAAUUGACGGGGAGGCGCACAAGCAGUGGAGCGUGUGGUUUAAUUCGAAACAAAGCGAAAAACCUCACCAGGGUUUGACAUGCAAUUGCUAAGCCUAUGAAAGUAGGCCUCCUUCGAGGGUAUUGCACAGAUGCUGCAUGGCUGUCGUCAGCUCGUGGCGUGGGAUCUGGAAAAAGAUCAAUCGCGCCCGUUGACAGCAAUGUCAAAUGGAAAAUUCGGCUCAUAUCGGUGAAUCUAUUUAUAUUCGGGUUUAUUUCGGAUAUAAUUGAAAUACCGAGGGAAGUCGGGAAGAAUGAUUUUCACUGCUCGUAAGAACUUAAAGCUUGAAGUUUCCAACAGACAAGUAGAAAUCUUAAUUGGCUGUUUGCUAGGUGAUGCUUAUCUAACUAAAUUAGGUAAAAUUCAAAUUGAACAAUCAGACAAACAAAGAGAGUAUAUUUAUUGGAAGCAUUCAGAGCUUGCCUCGAUAAGCUACUCGCAAAUCAAAGAAGUAACUCGUUUUGAAAAACGAGACGACAGAGUAACAAAGUCUUUCAGAUUUUGGACUCGACAGUAUUUCAGAGAAUGGCGAGAAAAGUUUUAUCAGAAAGAUCGCAAAAUUUUCCCAAAAGAACUAGCAAAGUGGAUAACUCCAUUAGCCGUUGCCGUUUGGUAUAUGGAUGAUGGUAGUUAUCAGAAGUAUAACUGUACUUUAUCGACUGAAUCAUUUGAUUUAGAAAGUAAAGAACAUCUUAUCGAUGCUUUAGAGUCUUUUGGUAUUGGAGCGGUUUUUAGAGGUAAAGGAAAGAUCAGGGUUGUGAACUCUGAUCUAAAUAAGUUUUUCGAGUUGAUUUCGCCUUAUAUUCAUGCGAGUAUGAGGUAUAAAACUUCCUUGACCCUGUAACGACUAAUAUGGAAGGUACCAGAUAAUCUGGAAUUAAACUUCCAUUAUACGCCGAACACCCUAAAAUCGAAGUCGUUUAGACUUCGAAAACAGGGUGAUGGGAUAGUCUAAUAUUUGCUUUAAUGCAAAUUCGGAGCUGUACCGUUAAGUCGGGAAACGAGCGCAACCCGCACCGUAUGUUAAAUAGUUCAUGCGGAACUGCCCCUUUUUGGGGAGGAAGGCGCGGAUGACGUCAAGUCAGCACGGCUCUUACACCCUGGGCUACACACACCCUACAAUGGCGAAAAACAAUGAGUUGCAAACCGGUAACGGCAAGCUAACCCCAGAAAUUUCGCCUCAGUUCAGAUUGAGGUCUGCAAUUCGACCUCAUGAAGUUGGAAUUGCUAGUAAUCGCGAAUCAGCAGGUCGCGGUGAAUACGUUCUCGCCUCUUGUACACACCGCCCGUCAAGGCAGCAAAGUUGGGGGCACCCGAAUAUCCUUACAAGGGUAGAAGGUGACACCAGCGAUGAAGCUUAAGUCGU
rnacentral:rRNA from 1 species